CAGGUCGCCUCUGCGGCCUCCGGAGGCGGCGGCGACGGCGGGGGGCCACCGGCGGAGAAUGGGGAUGAGAAGCCGCGCGGGGUUCCCUCCUUGCCGGCGCUGUCGGAGAUCCGUUGGGGGAGCUGCUCGCGCCGGGCCCCGAUAACGCCGCGGCCGUGGCGCUGACGGGCGCGCUGGUCUGGGCCGGCGCGUCGCUGCUGCUGCAGCUGGUGCUCAUCUCCGCCUCCAUCUUCGCAGCCGCCGUCAAGUACUCCUUCGUCGCCGCGCUCCUGCUCUUCGUACUCAUCACGCUCCUAUAACCUUCAGCUUGGACUAGCCUUGAAGUUAGAGUGGUGGCACUAAAAGUUUUUGACUUUGUGCUCCUCUCAGAUCAAACUACUGAUGCAAUGAAUUGGUCUGCCUUUUAUAUAGCAAUCCAAGUAUCCAACUUCAAAGGUUGAGUAUGACCUCUGGCUAGUGUUGGUUUCAUUGCUGCAGGCCACUUAAAAGCACUUUGCAGGUCAUUUGUACAUCUUUAGUCUUCUCUUGUAGAUUCUCAUAAAUAUUGUAAAGUAUCAUGCUUCUUGCUUAUUUGCUCUGCAGUUAAUUUAACUUAUCUGGUCAGAUUCUGAUAUAAGGACUUCUGCAUUGUUUUGCCCACUAAUAAUGGGUCAUCUUAAGCAUAUAAAGUUAUAUGUCAGCAGGUUU